CUCUUGACCAUGUGAUUCGCCUGGUUCAGCCUCCCAAAGUGCUGGGAUUGCAGGCGUGAGCCACCUGGCCCAGCCUUUCAUUGAAUUUUAAGAGCCCCUUGAGUGCUUUCAUUAUUUGCAGGUUCACUUUUCAAAAGAUAGUGUUGUUUCUGAGAAUAGCAAGAAGCAGGAUUGGUGUGUAAGAGGCUUGUUAGCCCUUUGCCAUCUGAAGGAAGAAAGGGGAGGUGCCAAGCUACUGCCCCUGCCAACAGAACUGGGGGGAAAGGAAGACAAGGAGCAGAGGGUCUUCAGGAGGAGAGGGCUGCCAGGGAGCUCAGCGCUACCCCUGGAUAGGAAUAGGUUCUCUCGAGGUUGUUAGAAUUAACCUCAUGAGAACUGGUUUUUGAAUGACAGUAAGAACGAUUGAAAAUAUAAGUCCUAAAUAAUGGGCACACACCACCGAGUUUGGCAUGAGUGAAGGGUGUUCACUGAGAGUAUCUGGAAGCCAAAAUAAAAAGACUCAGCAGGCCCAUCCAGAUAGGAUGCAACAAUCAAAUACUGUGGCCUCUUCCAAAACCAGGAAAGGAAAAACAACGGCAGAUCAUAACCAAAGAGCCAUAUAAUGAUAAAGGCAUUUCAGCUUGGUGGGAGAAAAAGUGGGCUCCGGAGUCCCACUGCUUACAUGUGAAAUCUGGCUCUACGCUUCACAGUGGUGUUGCCUGGGAUACCUGUGCCGACCUCAUGUUUGCUCUCUGUAGAUGAAAUAAGUGAUGCUUGCUCAUAGGGUGGAGUGCUAAUUGAGACAGAAAAAUACAAUCCACAUAAAAAGCUUUUAGUGCAAGUCCAGCCACGUGGUAAAUGUGAAAUGUUUGUCAUUGCCACUUUUGAAACAGGGAAGCAGUUUAUAAAAGCACCUUAAACCAUUUAAAAUGUCUGUGGAAAUGUUAAGAAGGAAUCUAGAUGUUCUCUUCCUGCUUACUCUUGUAUACAUUGACUGUUACUCAUGAAUAGUGUUUACCCUGAAACCUGCUGAUCAGGAAGUGGGAUGUGUACUUAAGUAUGAAAAAUGAGGCUAUGUCUCCAAGGUACUGAAACUAUAAAAGGAUCAUUAAGUUCUCAAAAUGUAAAUAAGAGGGCAGCUUUCAUUUGUGUAUCUAAAUUUAGCUUGCUUAAUUAAACCGCGAUAAUGAAAGGUUUUUAGAACAGCAUCCUCUGUGACAGAGGAAGCAUAUGAAAUAUUACCAAAUUUAAAAAUGGACAACUUUGAAAUAGCCAACAAGCACUUUCUGCUCAAUUCCAUGGAUAAUCAUUACUAAAGCUCCAUGUGGAUGCAUAGCCGUUCUCUUCAUUCAUUGAAAGCCAAGCCCAAGAUUUCUCUUAAUACUAUGCCCAGAGUAGCAGAUACGUUGAGUUUUCCAAGGAAAGUUACCUUCAUAUAGGAAAAAGCUGUGAGAGUAGAAAUUGCCAAGGUCUUGAAGUAAAAGAAAAGGUGGAGCUACAGCCAUGAAGAUGGUUAAUGACGUUCCACUGGAAAGGUUUUUAUACCUGCUGAAGGCUUCUCUGUGGGAUUUCUCAAAGGCAGAAAGCCUUGUUCUUAAAUGCGUGUUUGCUGAUUUGUUUUUAUUGACUCAUGGAAACUUUGUAGUCUUUGAUUCUAUAGCAUGCUAUCAGGGUCAAGCAAAAUCUUUCUCAAAUCCUUUUUUUUCUCUAAGAUGCAUACUUUCAGGAUAUGAAAAACACCUUUUUAUCAUUAUUCAUUCCAGCCAGCCAGCCCUCCAUUCCAGUAUACUGGUUAAUAAUAAUAGCUACUACCAUUGAGUCCCUAAGGCAUAGCAACAAGUAGUAUUUUACAUGUCUUCUCUUUUAAUCUCUGCCACAACUUAAUAAAGAACCCAAGCAAAGUGAAGUUUAUUUGCUUGCUCAAGUUUCUACAGCUAGAUACUCAAAUCCAGACUUUUAAUAUUGCAAACAUGUGCUGUGAAUCACUCUGCUAUAUUGCUUCCUGGCUCCCCUCAGUCUUAGAGAAUGUUGGUAGAAUCUUGCCAUAAUAAUAUUGGCAACCUACUGAAGUUCUUAGGAGACUUAUACCCUUGGACCUUUACCGAGACAUUUAGUUAGAUGAUUGUUCUAUGCUGUUUUUGUAUAUAAAGCUCAAGUGUUGAUUCAUUUUAUUUUUUUGUCCGUGGAUUCAAGUGGCCAUUGGGAAUACGCCACUUUUUCUGAUAGCUUUCCAUAUUGAUAGUGUAUCUUUUCUGAGCGUUAUAUAUGACACGUCGGAGGACUAGAAGUUAGUAAUAGUUUCACUUGUUGCCCUGGGGAGCUUGAGAAACGUUAAAGCUCAACACCUGCCACCGCCGAUUCUAAUUUAACAGUUCUAGUUGUCACUAAAGUAUUUUUUAGGUUGGGCUGGUUUAUACCUUUUAAAGUGUUCAGUGAUACUUUUUUUACUCUGAUAUGGUAGCAUUGUUUCUGAGACAUACCUAAAAUAAAAUGUUCUACAAUUAAAAAACAGAGUUUCAGAUAUAAUCCCACAGAAAAAUACACAAAUACCCUAAUCUGUUUUAUCUUGGAAGCAUCUUGUUAUGUUCUCUGUAAGAGUGGGAGGAGUGACCCCACCUCCUGGCAAGAAAACUAGCAAAGGAAACAGGACCAGGACCUCCAACCAGUUGAGACCACUAGAGUGAAGAAAUCGCAUUUCGAGGAGCUUGACUUUUCCUUCCUGAAACCCUUUCAUUCCUGUGUGCCAGUCUCUCUCUCUGGAUUCUGGUUUGACUCCUCUGAGGAGUCUGUUCUUUAGCUAGUUACUGCUAGAUGGGCUUUGAGCAAGCUAGUGCUUCUUUGGCAAGGAAUUUCCGCAUCUCCCUUAAACCUCUCACUUGCUUGGCUCUUGAAGUUUUUUGAAGUUAGAAGACGCACAGACCAGUGUCUCUACUUCAUUUUGUACUGGUUCAUAGGACAGAGGGUCUCAGCAGACCCUCUGUAGACCAAGUAGAUGGCAUCUGGGAAGAUGCAGCAAUGGAUGGGUUAAGGUGUCUUAAGCCAUUUUAAUAUGCCAACUUAAGCCAUGAAGACAAUAAAGGAGGAAGAGGCAAGUCACAGUCAGAUUUCUCCGGAUAUGCCUCGCACUUUUAGAAUUUACUUUUGAGUUUACAUCUAAAAGGAAAACCAGCAAACUUCCCUAUCUAAUGUGGUGAUCUGACUUACUUAUACAGCUGUUUCCUAGAAGUAAUAAAACAACUUCAGUUCACCCUGUGUAUAUAUGUAUGUUUGCAUCAGCAGGACCAAUUUUAUGAGAUGCCUCUUGCCACAUACCCACUUAUUCAUCUGUCUUGGGAAGGAAAGAAUAGGAAGUAGCCUGGCAACUGAGUUGUCAGCAUGAUUAAUCAUGGGGCUUAGACUUAUAGUGAUAGCCAAGAUUUUCUCUGGUUCUAAUAUGUUCAAGAAGGAUUUAUGGUCUUCCCUAUGUAGACAUUCCCUCUGCUUGUUUAUAGCUUAAUCUCUGAUCCUUUCUAUUUUUAAUUACCAUAAAUUAUUUUUCAUCCCUAUAAAAGUUUUCCAAUUGGAAAUAUACUAGUUCUUCUCUUUAUGGAACUUACUACUCAGUAUUAGGCAUGAUUUUAACAAAGCAGUGCCAACAAUUCCAUUCAAAUGGAAAAGAUAAGGUAAUUGCACAGUUCAACAAAGUGAAGAUCAUAGGUAUUUUACAAAGCUAAGCACAUUUUUAUUGUGGCACCUUCUUUAAUAUUUGUGAUCCCUUUGAACAAUAUAUAUUGAAUAUAUAUGUGUGUGUGUGUGUGUGUGUGUGUGUAUGCGCGCGCGCGUGUGCGUGCUGUUUCAUUGUGCACCUUCAUAUUAAAUACUUUAGUGGUUCCUUCCUGGGUUUAAGCUAGUAUCGUUAUCUAUCAGUCUGCUUACUCGGUGAUGUAACACUUUUAUUGCUUAUGUAUGGCCUGCAGACUUGUGUUUUCUUAUUCUUUUUCUUUCUACUUUUGGCGUUAUUUUGCAUUAUUAACCAUUUGUGUUUGCUCUCAGUUCUGUUUAACGUGUUAUGAAGGUGGAUGUCUACAAAUCAGUGAAAUGAUCCAAGCAUCCCUUAUAACCUCCUCACUGCCCUGCAUCUUUGUGUGUUCCUUGUGAUCAGGUGCCUGUAGGGCUUUUCACAAGGUAUUUGCCUUGGCCCUUUGAGCCUCUGGCAGAGGGGCAGGACUUAGGCUUUCCCAGUGUUGAUUCUGCAUUAUGAAAGCAAAAAGCAUGGGCAGUUACAGCCAAUAAUGGGCAAAAUAAAAGAAGAAACUGAUUAGCUCUUUCCCAGAAAUUCAGCCUGCCUUCGGGCUUGGUUUUCUCUUAGCUGCUCUGAUUCAGUGUGCUCAUUUAACACUGCUCUGAAGUAGA